UACGGAGGGUGCAAGCGUUAAUCGGAAUUACUGGGCGUAAAGCGUGCGCAGGCGGUUUGUUAAGUCCGCUGUGAAAUCCCCGAGCUCAACUUGGGAAUUGCAGUGGAUACUGGCAAGCUGGAGUACGGUAGAGGAAGGUGGAAUUCCCGGUGUAGCAGUGAAAUGCGUAGAGAUCGGGAGGAACACCAGUGGCGAAGGCGGCCUUCUGGACCAAUACUGACGCUCAUGCACGAAAGCGUGGGGAGCAAACAGG
rnacentral:rRNA from 1 species